rnacentral:rRNA from 1 species
GACGAACGCUGGCGGCGUGCUUAACACAUGCAAGUCGAGCGAUGAAGCACCUUCGGGUGUGGAUUAGCGGCGAACGGGUGAGGAACACGUGAGGAAUCUGCCUUUCACUUCGGGAUAACUCCGGGAAACCGGGGCUAAUACCGGAUAUUUUCAACUGGCGGCAUCGCCGGUUGAAGAAAGUUUUUGGGUGAAAGAUGACCUCGCGGCCUAUCAGCUUGUUGGUGAGGUAAUGGCUUACCAAGGCGACGACGGGUAGCCGGCCUGAGAGGGCGGCCGGCCACCCUGGGACUGAGACCUGGCCCAGACUCCUACGGGAGGCAGCAGUGGGGAAUAUUGGGCAAUGGAGGAAACUCUGACCCAGCGACGCCGCGUGAGGGAUGAAGGCCUUCGGGUUGUAAACCUCUUUCAGCAGGGAAUAGGCGAAAGUGAAGGUACCUGCAGAAGAAGCACCGGCUAACUAUGUGCCAGCCGCCGCCGUA